AUGUACUGCCGAAAGUUGCAUCGCCCACGAUACGCCACCAGUUGCUCGUCGACGCAAAUGUCUGCUCCGGGGUUAAAUAUCUGUGGGAGCCGGUCAGUCCACUGGUCCCACAUGUCUCGGAUCGCGGCCAGCUUAUCAUCCCGACGCCGUGGUCUGGAGAGACGGUCGUCAAAGCACAGCGAUCUAGAAAUAAUUUCAAAGGUUUUUCUGGGCAUGGUCACCCGAAAAAUGUGGCGACCUGUUCUCGCCGCCCCAGAGGCUGCGCGUCGCUUCUCCCCGGGACCGAUAGACGCCGGCCAGGAGGAGGAGUCCGAAGUACGCGCGAAUCGUUGUGGCGUCAAGGUCCUUCCACCCCCGGACCGUCCUUCUCCCAUGCAGGUGCCUGGUGAUUACAAAUUGAGGCCACCUGUUCCUGCUGUGGACUGCCAGGAUAAAAGGAGCCUCCGUCUCCUUUUUCAGUGCUGCACUUACCAUGCUAUGCACCCAGCCCGCCUCCCUACCAGUUCCCUUUUGCAUCCCUUCCGGUUUCCCCGGCGCUUCACCUAGGACACAAGUUGCGUCGCCCUGCUUCGGUGUUUGUUUUUCCUCUGUUUUCCUAUUUUGUUGGGAGUUAUUCAUUGUAAUUCAUUUCGUAUGUAUUUCUUCUUUAUUUAUAUAUUUAUUUGUUAAUAAAAUGGUGGCU
rnacentral:lncRNA from 1 species